UUCUGUUUGCAGUGUGACCGCAUGGCCCAUCAUUAAGAGGCAGAAUCUUUGUUCUCCUUCCCUGAACCUGGCUGGGGUUUGCAACUGUUUCAGCAAGCAGAGUGUGGGUGAGUGGUUCUCUGAGCUUCUAAGACUGGGUCCUAAAGGUUGAUACAGGUUCAGAUUGGUUCUUCCUCUUUUAGGACAUUAGCUGUGGGGAAGCCCAGCCCAGGGGAAGAGGCUGUAGGUGUUUUGGCCAAUAGCCCUGGCAUCAGUCGCCAGACAUCCGAGUGAGGAAGGCUUUCCUCUCCAGCUCCAGCCCCGCUCUUACUAUAACUGUGGGACAGAACCACUGAGCUGAGCCUGCCAUCCUCCCAAGCCAUAAGAGGAACAAUUUGGGUUGGAAGGAGGCUGCCCAGUGUGUGGAGUCAAUUUGGGAAGGCAGUGUUGGCACCAUCUUCAGAAGGUCUAGGUGCCUGGAGCUGCUGGCUUUUCCCUGCCAGGCAGGAGACCCCGAAGCUGCUCUGUCCUCCCUCCCCUCUGUAAGCUGGGGAGGGCAUCUUUCUGAUCCUUGGAUAAAAUCCCUCCUAUCAAGAUCAUCCAUCAGUAUCUUCCUGAACAUUCCCAAAGGCCCUCUGAGAGAAUGGUAUGAGAUUCUUUUUCAUCUGAAGUCCACAGCCCUGGGGUCCUUGAAAGUGAACCUGAUCCUACUCGAACCAGAUUUUCACUAUAAACAAAAAGGCUCUGUGAUUCCUCCAAGGCACAGAAGGACAAGAGAUUCCAAUCAGAUGACCUCUAGCUUGAUUUCAAAUACAACCAUUCUACCAGGAAGCUAUUCUCUCAAAUCUGUGAAGAAGAUUCUGAAAGCUGAAAGGUGUUAGAUAUUGAAAGACAAUUCCCAAAAUAGUGAAAGAAAGAUUUCAUUAUUUUGUUACUUUUUUUUUUUUUUUUCCUUUUGGUAAUAAAGAAUUUGGUGGAGUUAGUUUCUGGCA
rnacentral:lncRNA from 1 species